rnacentral:lncRNA from 1 species
CUACCCGACGCCGACGCCGAAGCCGCCGGCCAAGGGGCCCAAGCCGGAGAAGCCCCCGACCAAGGGCCACGGCCACAAGCCGGAGAAGCCGCCCAAGGAGCACAAGCCGACUCCGCCCACCUACACCCCGAGCCCCAAGCCCACGCCGCCGCCGGCUACUCCCAAGCCGACGCCGCCCACCUACACGCCGAGCCCUAAGCCCAAGUCGCCGGUCUACCCUCCCCCGCCGAAAGCCAGUACUCCUCCGACCUACACCCCGAGCCCCAAGCCUCCGGCGACCAAGCCGCCUACCUACCCGACCCCCAAGCCACCAGCUACCAAGCCUCCGACACCUCCUGUGUACACUCCGAGCCCCAAACCACCGGUUACAAAGCCUCCUACACCCAAGCCGACCCCGCCGGUGUACACGCCGAACCCCAAGCCACCGGUUACCAAGCCUCCGACACACACGCCGAGCCCCAAGCCUCCGACAUCCAAGCCGACUCCGCCGGUGUACACACCGAGCCCCAAGCCACCGAAGCCGUCCCCGCCGACGUACACGCCGACCCCGAAGCCACCGGCUACCAAGCCGCCCACCUCAACUCCGACGCACCCUAAGCCGACGCCGCACACGCCUAUCCCCAAGCCCACGCCGCCAACCUACAAGCCGGCACCGAAGCCGACGCCGCCGGCGCCCACCCCGCCGACAUACACGCCGCCGGUGUCGCACACCCCCAGCUCGCCGCCGCCGCCGCCGCCGCCGCCUUACUACUAGAC